GCCGAUGCGGGAAAGGCGCACCAUGCGAUCCUGCUAUACAGCAAAUUUUAGACUCUCGGCAACGGAUAUCUUGGCUCUCGCAUCGAUGAAGAACGUAGCGAAAUGCGAUACUUGGUGUGAAUUGCAGAAUCCCGUGAACCAUCGAGUUUUUGAACGCAAGUUG
rnacentral:rRNA from 1 species